rnacentral:lncRNA from 1 species
AUAUGCAAGAAGGACCAAAUUGAGUACAACUUGCCUUCUUGAUGCAAUACAGCAUAAUUAAUAAGUAAAGUUGCUUAAUAUCUUAAUGUUUUUACCCAAAAGGUUGCAUCUGUAAACUAAGGCUUUAUUUAAUUCAUACUUAUCUUAAAUUAGUUAAUUAUUAAUCCUAAUUACCUUAAUUAAUUCUUAAUUAACUACUAAUGACAGUAAUUAAGCAUUAAGGCUAAAUAAUAAUUAAAUGCCAUAGGUUAUUAGGGUUAAUGACCUCAGGUCAUCACACAAUCCCAAAAUCACUCAACCCUAAUUAUGAGGAUCUAAAUAAUCACUAUUUAAUUAUUUUGGAAUUAUUAUUUAAGUGCUAAAUAAGGGUUUAUUAGUAUUUUAAGCAAACAUUAUCCAAAUGCCACCAAAUUUUGUGUGGAGCCAGGGAAUAAUAGUCAGAGGCUCCCCACAAUUUUUGGUGAUUUUUGGACAUACAAAUAAAUUAUUAAAAUUCCUAGAAGUUUUAUUUACUAAUUAAAGAGCCAAUUUUUAUGGACAGGCAAACCAUCAGAGAAACAAAUUCCAAUAUUUUUCCUAUGCUCUAAAUAUUCUCUGGAACUUACACAAAAAGUUUCACUGUUUUUGGAUCACUACACAAUUUCCUACAUAAUUUCAAACAUCAAACAAAACUUGCAUAAAAAGGAGAAAAGAAAAAAAAAGAAAACAAAACUGCGCAGUGGGCGGCCUGGAAAUUGGCCCGCAGGCCGGCCCACGCGCGCUCGGCCCACAACCGUGCUGCACGCGCUGCCCCCCUCUCUCUCAGCGGUCACUGACGAGCGGGUCCCGCUCGUCAGGCCCUCUCUCUGCGGGACGCUGACGGGGCGACCCCACCCGUCAGCUGCGUCCUCACCGCGCACGGCGGUUUGGCCACGGCUCCGGCUGCCGUUGGCGAGGGUCUCGGCCGGAGUGCGCGUGCGCAUCGGCUUCACUUCAACUCCGCGACACUGUGGACACCCCCUACCCACGCUCUACCCUACCUCUUCCACCUCGGUCACGAGAAGGGCGGGCAGCCGCCAUGGCCGACCCUCGGCCGGCCGCUAGGGCCC